UUUAUUUGAAUUUUUUUACAGCAAUGACGGCUUGUGGAGCCUCUCAAUAGUUCCCAGAAGUAGCAGCAAACCGAUGCCGCGCCGUAGAGAUGCAGCAGAACAAACCGUUUGCGACGCACUUUUAAAAGACCCAGGUAACUGGCUGAUGGUUCACUGGAAUGCUGACUGGCUGCUGACUGACUGGGUAGUGUCACCUGUCCCUGUCUCUCCUCUCUAGCCAUGUCCUCUAUUUCUUCACUGUCACUUUCCCUUCUCUGAGUGUCCUCAUUCUUUUUUUCCUCAACCUUUGAAACUGAUAGAGGCAGAAUACAUGGCAUUGCUAAUUUUAAAUAUUGAAAAUUUCACAUCACUUCAAAAUUAGAAAUAUUACUUCAACUAGUACGAGUUUGUACUUAUUAUAUAUGUAUUACCUGUAAUACUAUAGCUGUGAUCAGCAGCGAUUUGCUGUAUGUUUACAGGUCUGGGGGUGCAUCGUGGAGCAGGGGCCCUCCUCUUUUUGACCACAGGAUGAUGCACAAAGAUUGUGGAAAUAGCAUCUGGUCUCAGCCUACUCUUGAAUUUUUUGGUCAUGACAAAUUGGUUUGCCUCAAAAUGUGCCUGCAGAGUGACUUGACAGGGAAGCCAUACAUCUGCACACAUUUCUCUGACCGAGUGGAGCAUCCCCAUGCAGCACAGCAAACCAUGGUGGAGACUAUGCAAGGACAACAUGAAAGAAAGGACACAUACAAA
ensembl:lncRNA